UUACCACGUGUACAGCCAUCCGGGUUACA
rnacentral:sRNA from 1 species